AACCCGCCAUCGAAUGAGGCAAGACUACCCGCUGAACUUAAGCAUAUCACUAAGCGGAGGAGAAGAAACUAACCAGGAUGCCCCUAGUAAUGGCGAAUGAAGCGGGCUGAGCUCACGCUGCCAAUCUGGAGGCCUCGCGUAUGCAGCGCCCCCCGAAUUGUGGUCUAGAGAGGCGUUAUCGGCCGCGCCCGCCGCUCAAGUCCCUUGGAACAGGGUGUCGGAGAGGGUGAGAAUCCCGUACCGUGGCGGGUUGCGGCCUUACGAUGCGUCCUCGUCGAGUCGGGUUGCUUGGGAUUGCAGCUUGAAUUGGGUGGUAAAUUCCAUCUAAAGCUAAAUACUGGCGAGAGACCGAUAGCGAACAAGUACCGUGAGGGAAAGAUGCAAAGAACUUUGAAAAGAGAGUCAAAGAGUGCUUGAAAUCGGUAGGAGGAAACCCGGAUGGGCCCGGCUUCGGCGCGCCGACUCAGCCUGGGGUUCUCCCCAGGUGCACUUCUGCGCGCCGGGUCAGCCGCGCCUCGGCGCCGCGCCUCAACCCGGGAGCGGGGCUUUACGGCCAGCUCCCGUCCUGGCGCGGCCCGGGGCCCGGCUGACGGAACGGGCCCCUCCGACCCGUCUAGAAACACGGACCAAGGAGUCUGACACGUGUGCGAGUACCCGGGUGGCAAGCCCGCGUGCGGAAUGAAAGUGAAGGGCAUGCCCUGCCAACCGACCUUGACCUGCUGUGAGGGGUUUGAGUGGAGCACACCUGUCGGGACCCGAAAGAUGGUGAACUAUGCCUGGGUAGGGUGAAGCCAGAGGAAACUCUGGUGGAGGCUCGUAGCGAUACUGACGUGCAAAUCGUUCGUCGAAUCUGGGUAUAGGGGCGAAAGACUAAUCGAACCAUCUAGUAGCUGGUUCCCUCCGAAGUUUCCCUCAGGAUAGCUUGAACGCAACGGUUUUGUCAGGUAAAGCGAAUGAUUAGAGGCCUGUGGGCUGAAACAGCUUGCACCUAUUCUCAAACUUUAAAUGGGCAAGAGGCCCGGGAUGCUUGAGUGAUCCCGGGCGGCGAACGGCGCGUUCAAAGUGGGCCAUUUUUGGUAAGCAGAACUGGCGAUGCGGGAUGAACCGAACGCCGCGCUAAGGUACCCAAGUGUCCGCUCAUCAGAUACCACAAAAGGCGUUGGUACCUCCAGACAGCAGGACGGUGGCCAUGGAAGUCGGAACCCGCUAAGGAGUGUGUAACAACUCACCUGCCGAAGGUACUAGCCCUGAAAAUGGAUGGCGCUCAAGCGGACCACCGAUGCGCGGCCGCCGGCGCGAGCGCGAGGCGCCGGCGAGUAGGAGGGCGCGGGGCUCGCGGCGCAGCCUUGGGCGCGAGCCUGGGUGAAGCGGGCCCCGGUGCAGAUCUUGGUGGUAGUAGCAAAUAUUCAAAUGAGAACUUUGAAGACUGAAGUGGAGAAAGGUUCCGUGUGAACAGCAGUUGGACACGGGUGAGCCGACCCUAAGAGACAGGAAAACUCCGCCGAACGCGGCUGGUUCUGUCAGCCCGUCCGUCGAAAGGGAAUCGGGUUAAUAUUCCCGAGCCAGCGCGUGGAUGGUGGGCGGCGACGCGAACGAACCCGGAGACGCCGGCGGGAGCCCUGGGAAGAGUUCUCUUUUCUUCUUAACUGCCUCCUGCCCUGGAAUCGGUUUAGCCGGAGCGAGGGCUACACGGCAGGCAAAGCACCCUAAGUCUUGGGGUGUCCGGCGCGCUCCCGACGGCCCGUGAAAAUCCGGGGGAGCGGUUCGUUCUCACGCCUGGUCGUACUCAUAACCGCAUCAGGUCUCCAAGGUGAACAGCCUCUAGUCGAUAGAGCAAUGUAGGUAAGGGAAGUCGGCAAAAUGGUUCCGCAACCUCGGGAGAAGGAAUGGCUCUGAAGGCUGGGCGCAGGGGUCCUAGGCUCGAGGCCGGCUGGCUGCGCGGGGACUACGGCCUCACGGCUGCGGAUCCCGCGCGGCCGUCCGGCGGACGGCCUAGGAGCGCUCCGGCUCUCCCUGCGCGACGAACAGCCGCUUCAGAACUGGCGCGGACAAGGGGAAUCCGACUGUUUAAUUAAAACAAAGCAUUGCGAUGGCCCGCGAGGGUGCUGACGCAAUGUGAUUUCUGCCCAGUGCUCUGAAUGUCAAAGUGAAGAAAUUCAACCAAGCGCGGGUAAACGGCGGGAGUAACUAUGACUCUCUUAAGGUAGCCAAAUGCCUCGUCAUCCAAUUAGUGACGCGCAUGAAUGGAUUCGUGAGAUUCCCACUGUCCCUAUCUACUGUCUAGCGAAACCACAGCCAAGGGAACGGGCUUGGAAGAAUCAGCGGGGAAAGAAGACCCUGUUGAGCUUGACUCUAGUCUGUUACUGUGGAACGACUUGAUGGGUGUAGAAUAUGCGGGAGGGGCAACCCGACAGUGAAAUACCGCAACCGUCAACGUUGUUUUACUUACUCGGUGGCGCGGAGGGAGGCUCGCCUCACUUCUGGAUCCAAGCCGCUUCGUGCGCGCGAUCCGCGUCGGGGACACUAACAGGUGGGGAGUUUGGCUGGGGCGGCACGUCUGUUAAAAAAUAACGCAGGCGCCCGAUUUUGAGCUCAAUGAGAACAGAAAUCUCAUGUGGACCGAAAGGGGAAAAGCUCGGUUGAUUUUGAUUUUCAGUACGAAUACAAACCGCGAAAGCGUGGCCUAUCGAUCCUCUCGUCUUUGGGAAUUUCAAGCUAGAGGUGUCAGAAAAGUUACCACAGGGAUAACUGGCUUGUGGCUGCCAAGCGUUCAUAGCGACGUAGCUUUUUGAUCCUUCGAUGUCGGCUCUUCCUAUCACUGCCUCGCAGCGGGGGCCAAAUGCAGGAUUGUUCACCCACCAACAGGGAACGUGAGCUGGGUUUAGACCGUCGUGAGACAGGUUAGUUUUACCCUACUGCUGUCUGUUUUUCUACGGUAAUUUGGUUCAGUACGAGAGGAACCACCAAUUCGCAUCAUCGGUAUAGCCGCCGCCGGAAACGGCGAUGCGGCGAAGCUGCCAUGCGCCGGAUUAUAACUGAACGCCUCUAAGUUAGAAUCCAUGCCGGAAGGAAAGCCACCUACCGGCCCGGGGACGCCACGAGCAACGGUAGCACUGCCUGAGCCGCGAGCGACCACAAUUCACGGACCCGGGCCGACGAAUCCCUUGCAGACGACUUGAAUAAGGAACGGGGUAUUGUACGCGGCAGAGUGGCCUUGUUGCCACGAUCCGCUGAG
rnacentral:rRNA from 2 species